UGUUAGUCUAGAAUCUGAUGGGUAAAUGUAGGUAAUCUCAUAAACUCCUUGAGGUUCUGUUUUCUAUAAAGCAAAGAGACACCUGAUUUUUCUAACUCCCACUGUAAAAGAGUGCUGGAUAAUAGGUGGGAAAGUACCUUGACAACCAUCCUUGCAGUCCUAUGGGACUUUUUGUUUUGUACUGUGAUGGCUAUGAUGAUGUAGCAAGAUUUUCAUACUUUAAAUAUGAGGCAUGCAUUAGCUGCUCUGGGAAGGGGUUGCUUAAAGGGGUUAAAUUUGAAUGGGCCACCCAGGAGUGUUGGAGUCCAAAUUAAAUCAUCUGGUAAGCUGAUGUGCCAGGGCAGCAGAUAAUUCAUAGUCAGGAGCUGUCGGGGAUUAUGCGGGUUGUGCAUGUAACUUGAUUGAGGCAGUGACAGAUGCAUUCAAAGCAUGUUCCAGGCUCUCUAGACAUUUAGACUUCCUUCUAGGAAAGCUGGCUGUUGUGGUAGGCUCUCUCCAGCAACUUCAGGCUGGGAUUUGGUCAUGACAGAUCAUGAGGUAGGGUUCCAGAACAGGACAGGGGUGCAACAGGGAUCAGGUGGUCUGCAGAGUGGUAUAGCUCCACCGUGUCUUGAACAGGACAUUGCAGCUCUAUUGCAUGUCUUAAGGUUCUAGAUGUUGAAACCUAUUUCAUAACUAGUUCAGGUAGAAUGGUUUAUAUUAAUCCAAAUUUCAUCCAUGCUUCAUAUAAAUCCAGUACACCAGUGAACUCAAACUCCACGGAGAUGAAAUAUCUCUUAUAAAUAAAAGUUGAUCAAAUGCAACAUUCUCGACCCCAUUCCAAGAGAUCACUAUUCCAUGGUUCUAGGGUAGGAACCAAGAAUCUACAUGCAAAAAGUUCUUUAGUGAUUUUGAUGCAGAUCAUGUACAAUUUCCAGUCUCAGGGGGAAAGUGCAGUAGAUAAGGGAAAGCGUCUGAACAAGAACUACCAUGACAAAGAGUUGAAAAUCAACGGUAAUUGAGAGUUGACCAUGAACCAGGUGCUCUUCUAAAUACUGGCCAUCUCAUUUAGUCCUCAUGGCGAUCCUCUGAAAUUCACGCUAGUAUUCCCUCCGUUUUCUGAACAGGGCAACAGAGGCACAUACUAGUUAAUAAGAUACAGACACCUAUGAUAACACCUCCUGCUCCUGCUUUCAUAGUAAAAUGUGUAUGUUUGAAUAACUCAGAACUUGGUUGAAAAGGAAUAGAUUGCCCAAACCCAACCCAGAGACAUAGCUAUUGCUCCAAUCAUUCCAGCAAUAUAGCCCCAUUCUAAUACUAAAAACCCAUGGCAACCUAGCCAUUUACAGUAGGGAUGGAGCUUGGGGGAGAUUGCCCAUUCAAGAAUCUUUUUCAGAGUAGGCACACUUUGAGACUGGGAACCACAAGUUCUAGUAAUUCCUCAGCCUCUACUGCUGAAGUUGCUCUUCUCCCAAUCAACUUUCUCUUAUUUGGAACCUGUUGAAAUGAGGCAGGCCUCGCACUUGCCUAUCAGGUUUAUGGAAUUAAGAACAUUAGGCUAGGAACGUAGCUCAGUUGGUAGAGUGCUUGCCUCGUAUGCAUAAGGUCUUGGGUUCAAUCCCUAGUACCACACACACACUAAAAAAUGUGUAAGCUUCUACUAAUUAAAAAUAAAAUGUUCAUGAUUUAUGGCCUGUUCUCGUUUAAUUGAGAGUAGUAGUACACUCACUGAAUUCUAUAUUUACCCUAUUGAAUUCUAUAUUUACCCUAUGUCAUAGAAGAAUUCAUUUGACUCUUGCCCUUUUCCUUACUAGAAGAACAAAAAGGGAGAAGACUUAGGGAACCCCUUAACUAGAAAUAGUUUCUGGGAAUAAUCAGCCAGCCCCAAGAGAGUUAAUUCUUGAAUGAUUCGUUACACAUGUUCUUUAUGGAUUUAACUAUUCAUGGACCAUGAUUUUAAAAAUCUUGAAGUUGGCUGAACAUGACUCACAAAUUUUGGAGCUCCAGAAUUCUAGUCUUAUGUUUGUAAGUUCCUGACUACUACAAUGUUCCAGUUGAUUAUUCUGCUAGCACCCCUACCAUCAAACAAAUCCCAAACCAAAUCAAGGUCCCCAUUGAUUACUUUUUCUCUCCUAAUGGCCCUAUUUCUGUUCAGUAACAUGGUUCUCUCUGUUCAGCGUCAGAUAACAUCCACGCUCCCUAGAAUCAGGUGUGAGAGAUGUCCACAGUUUCACCCAGGCCUGCUUUACUCUUCCAAAACCUCAUCACCAUCACCACCACAAUUCAGAUGCCUUUCCACCUGGAACUGUCUGGGCCAUAUUCUGGAACCUUCUCCCAACAUCUUCCUUCUCUGUUCUUUCUACAGUUCUUCUUCCUACAAUGGCUCUGGCAUAUUGAAACCUUCUUAUACUCAAAAAUCUUCCCAUAACUUUUAUUGCUGGACAAAUAGAGUUCAAAUUUACUAAACUCAAAGUCUUAUGUACCAGACCUUGUGUAAUUAUCUUCUGUAGUAUCUGUCUAGCCAUGCAUCCUACAAAUUCUUUAUGAGCUUUUUGCUAUUCACAAGGCUGACUUAGCCAUCAGAUAUGAGAGGCACAUUGCCUAGUCCCAUAAUGUCUUUUAGAGUUUCAUGAUGUUUUAAUUUCUUUUAAAAUCAAAAGAAAAAAAUGAACCUAAUCCAAGUUGGAUUAUGUUAACAUUUAUACUAGUAUGGUUAUAAAACUUAAUUUUGAGUGUUUUUUAAUAAAAAAAAGGAACCCAUGAAAGAAUUUAUGUUUCAGUCUCAUAAAAGUCAUAAUGCAAAUUCCAUUUAUUCCUUCACUAUUCAUUCAUUCAAUCAACAAAAUAUUCAUUGGACUUCUGCUAUGUUUCAAGCACUAAGGGAAACAGUCUCGAUUAUCAGAGGCUUUAGAUGCUACUCUUAGAGACAGAGAAGUUAACAAAGAUAGCAACAAAAUGAUUAUAAAUUCUGGCACAUGUUGAGAUCUAAACGUGGGCUGAGAGAGAAAGAACAUUGGCAGGAAGAGGUCCUACAAUAGAUGUGAUGGUCAGAAAAGGUCUUUUUGGAGAAGAUGAUAUAUAACCUCCGAGUUAAAGGUAUAGGAAAAAAGCUGACCUUACAAAGAGAAGUAGAAAGAACAUUCCAACUGAAUUUCUGGGUGAGACUUGUGAUCUUGGCUGUCGCUCUGUUUCCUGGAUGCUCCCAUUGAAGAGACUCUGGCCUUGAUGAGGUUCUCAAACACAAUUUACACUCUUCUGUUUCCAUGGUUUUGCUCAAACUACUGCCUUUCCCUAGAGUUCCUUCUCCUCUACCUCCCUUUCUCUAUUUUUCAAAGCCUCAUCCAUCCUCUAAGGCCCAGUUCAAAUGCCACCACUAAGCCACUGCCUCAGGGAUUCCUCCUCCGAACAGACCUGCUGAAAGUGAGCUUGCUUGUCCUUGAACCUGCCACUCACUCAAGUGCUUAUCACUUAUAAUCCGCUGCCCUUUCUUUCAUAUCUCUCCUAUAUCCAUGACUUGCCACAAUUUCCUUGAAGGUAAAGUCUAUCUUUUAUAUCUUGGCAUUUCUUAAACUACCUCCACAGUGACCCUCACAUAUUAGAAAUACAGAAAAGUUCUUCUGGAUACAUGAAAAAUGAAUGAGGGCAUGAUUCCAAGGCUGGCUGUGUCUCCGUGUUGUAUUUCCACAAUCUUUCCUUUAUUUCUUUUAUUUCCUCUUCCAGGUUAGGGCAGCAAUGACUGCUGCGGGGACUGUGACACUGGUGAUGAGACUCUGCACAUUAAAACAGCAUGGAGAGAGGAGAGGAAUGGUCAGUGAGCUCAGGAGGGCGUGGCGUCUUCUGCAAAGACACGAAUAAAUCACUAACAAACAGAAACAGAAUUCAGCCCCAGUACCUAGAACUGAAAACUAAAAAAACUAAACACAAACAAAUAAGCAAGGAAAUGAGUGUGUGUGUGUGUGUGUGUGUGUGUGUGUGUAGGUACAGAAAGAAUGUGUAGAAUAAAUAAAAGAUUAAAAGCUAGAUGCCUGCUGGUGGGACUGAAACAGUAAUUUUACAUUAAGAUUGUUCUACUUUUCUCUGGGGAAAUCAGUCUUCAAAGAUUUUUUCUACACCUUGAGUUAGACAAAGAGAUUGGCAUUGUAGGUGGCUCUCCAGCAAGCCAUGGGUGUAAAACAGAGCCCCGAUGAGGGUGGGCACAGCUAUGCAUCCUUGGGAACUGUGGGGAGCAGCACAUUGGGCUAGCAAAGCAAGAGGAGAGGGGAAACCAUACUCCCACCAGAGCAUGGGUGUUUAAAUAGCGUGCCACGGUUGCGUGGUUGUCAGAUUUGGGUUGCUGGUUCUUAGCAGACGGUGACCAGUCAGAGGCAUUCCAUUCUACCAGUCAGAAAUGCAGAAGAGCAUUGCACAAUUCAAACGGCAAAGUUAAAAAUAUGGCAAUCCGAAGAGAAUUGGCCGACGGAGUGGAGUGAGUCCUGGGAGCUGUUUUGGAUCAACUCUCUAAGAAGGUCAGGUGGUGAAGAACCGGGUGAAAACAUCGCUGAGCAUUGAUCUGAGAUGGGUAAAGUAUUGCUGAUGGGGUGAAGUAAGUGGGGUGGGCAUGGUGGUGAGGGAACAGUACUUCCUGAGCCCCACAAGCGAUGCAGGUUUAACGGCCUCUGGGGCCAUACCCUGAGUGGCCUGGAGAAGCCAGUUGGCUCAGGCUCCACCCACGGGUGCUUGUUUGUCCUCCAGUUGUUGGCUGUUUGUUCAUUCCACAAAUAGUUAUUCCACCUACUGAAUGAGGCACUGUCACAGAUUCUGGGAGAAGAGGUGAGCAAAAAGUAGGCCAAAAUCCUGCUCUCAUGGAGCUUAUAUUCCAGAGUCGAGAACAUAAGGAUGUAUUUUAUUGUAAAGAGAAAGCAUGCUUAGAUUCUAAAGACUCUAAAGACGAUCCUUAGAUGAAUUGUCUACCUAAAAUAGACAGUGGAUACAACAGAAGAUACAAAAUGUGCCAGAUGGUGGUAAGUAGCUCGGAGCACCCAAAGCAGGGCCAGCUGACUGGGAGGUACGGCGAUCAGACAAGAUCCCUCAGAAAUGGAGACUGUUGAGGAAACACCUGAAGUUCAGUGAGAGGGUCAGCGUGUGGGUAUCUGGGGAAGGCAUUCCAAGCAGGGCAAAUAGCCAGGCAAACCCCCUGAGGUAGGCCAUGUCUGGUGAGCGGGGGGACCCCGAGGGGAGGAUGUGGCUAGAGGAGAGGGAGACUGGGGAAGGCAUUAAGAGAAAAGUUCAGAGAAGUCACUGGGGACAAUCAUGUGGCACCCCUGCGAGGACUUUGCUGUGGGUGUAACUUUGGACAGAUGAGUUACCUAGAAUGACCUCUAGGAAGUGAUGUGCUUCUCCUCACUCCCAUUUCCAUCACGGGGGAAAUAGCCAGGGAGAAAGGACUGCAUUUCAAGGGGCAGCUUGGAGCGCAGGAUUGGGGACCUUGGCAGUAGAGUUGGGUGUCUGUAGGCCAAGGGCCUCAGGAGAUAUGAAUGCAAAUAUUCUAUCACUUCUUCUCAGGAUUGCCUACAGAAGAGAGAUCUGCGGUAAUAGUGCAUGGUGGAAAAUGAACCAAGUGUUGUCUUCAUGGAUUUAUUCAUCUAUGAGGUGCCCUGAAUCAAGACCCCAAUCUCCCACAUCUAGCCUGUAUAACCAAUGGGAGUUCAGGGGAGAGGUCUGCCCUGGAACCGAAGUGUGGGCACAAUAUAUAAAUAGACAGUAACUGAAGAUGUGAAGAUGGAUCACACUCCAUGGAGAGUGAGAAGAGACAAACACACAAGACAAAACAUUGAGGAAUGAUAAUAUUUAGUGGCUGAGUAGAGGAUGAUAAGCCUGAUGCUGAGAGGGAGCAGCCAGAGAGGUUAUAAUAAAUUCUCCUUAGUUAGAUGAGAAUUGAAAUUGUUCUUGACAUCAGACAUGCAGUUCUCAGCCUGAGGUACCUGGAACACCAGUGGCAUGGAGACUUUGGGUUAACAGCACUCUGUGUUUUCAUGAAAAUGAUUGUCCUCCAAUCUUUUGUGUCACUCUGCAAGUGUGACAAACCCUACUAAUAACCCCAUUUUUCACCUAUGACAUUUUCAUAUUCUAGAAGUAAUUUGAAUAUUUAACACUGGUGAAACAUGACAACGAAAAUUAUACAAAUAAAGUUCAACUAUUGCAGCAA